rnacentral:rRNA from 1 species
AUUGAACGCUGGCGGCAUGCCUUACACAUGCAAGUCGAACGGCAGCAUGGAGAGCUUGCUCUCUGAUGGCGAGUGGCGAACGGGUGAGUAAUGCAUCGGAACGUACCGUGUAAUGGGGGAUAACGUAGCGAAAGUUACGCUACUACCGCAUACGACCUGAGGGUGAAAGCAGGGGAUCGCAAGACCUUGCGUUAUCCGAGCGGCCGAUGUCAGAUUAGCUGGUUGGUGAGGUAAAGGCUCACCAAGGCGACGAUCUGUAGCGGGUCUGAGAGGAUGAGCCGCCACACUGGGACUGAGACCAGGCCCAGACUCCUACGGGAGGCAGCAGUGGGGAAUUUGGGACAAUGGGGGCAACCCUGAUCCAGCCAUGCCGCGUGAGUGAAGAAGGCCUUCGGGUUGUAAAGCUCUUUCGGCCGGGAAGAAAUCGCACAGGCUAAUACUCUGUGUGGAUGACGGUACCGGCAUAAGAAGCACCGGCUAACUACGUGCCAGCCGCCGCCGUAA